ACUGGCACUGAGACACUGGCCAGACUCCUACGGGAGGCUGCAGUCGAGAUCUUCCGCAAUGGGGGCAACCCUGACGGAGCGACGCCGCGUGGAGGAAGAAGGCCUUCGGGUUGUAAACUCCUGUCACGACUUACGAAAAUGCAGCGUGUAACAUCGCUGCACUGACAAAGGGUCGGAAGGAAGCCACAGCUAACUUCGUGCCAGCAGCUGCGGUAAUACGAAGGUGGCAAGCGUUGUUCGGAUUCACUGGGCAUAAAGGGCGCGUAGGCGGUUCCGAAAGUGAUCUGUGAAAGCCCCCCGGCUCAACCGGGGAAGUGCAGGUCAAACUUCGGUACUCGAGGCUGGGGAGGGGAGACUGGAACUCUCGGUGGAGCGGUGAAAUGCGUAGAUAUCGAGAGGAACACCGGUGGCGAAGGC
rnacentral:rRNA from 1 species